CUACAUUUGAGCAGCGUCCCGGCUGUAAACAGAGGAAUCACUGAAAGUGAAUCGAAACGAGCUAAGUGGUGAAUAGUGAACCAAAUAAGCACCUUAUCUGUGUAAACAACUGGAUCUUACCUGUGUAAACAACCGGAUCUUACAUAUGCUGACUUUGGGAUAUCACGAGGAUGCUGAAGGAAUGAGCGAAGAUCCACAAACUGACAGAAAGAUGGCCAUGGAAACGAGAGCAUAUGCUGUACAUCGUACAAGAGAGGCUAACCAGGAACAAGAUGUCAUUUGAGAUGCUUUUGAGCCAUUUAUGAUCACAUUUAAAUGUCAAGCUGAUUAUUAAAUAAUUGAUUAAACAUGUUGAAAAACAA